CCUCGCCUUUAUUACCAUCAUUUAGUUGGGUACUCUAAAGGAACCGCCGGUGAUAAGCCGGAGGAAGGUGGGGAUGACGUCAAGUCCUCAUGGUCCUUACGCGCUGGGCUACACACGUGCUACAAUNGCGGUGACAGUGGGCAGCAAUCCCGCGAGGGUGAGCUAAUCUCCAAAANCCGUCUCAGUUCGGAUUGUUCUCUGCAACUCGAGAGCAUNAAGGCGGAAUCGCUAGUAAUCGCGGAUCAGCAUGCCGCGGUGAAUACGUUCCCAGGCCUUGUACACACCGCCCGUCACACCAUGGGAGUUGGUUUCACCCGAAGGCGUUGCGCUGACCGCAAGGANGGCUAGGCGACCACGGUGGGAUCUAGCGANUGGGGUGCCGUCGUAACAAGGUAGCCGUACGGGGAACCUG
rnacentral:rRNA from 1 species